UACGUAGGGCGCAAGCGUUGUCCGGAAUUAUUGGGCGUAAAGAGCUCGUAGGCGGUUUGUCGCGUCUGCUGUGAAAACCUAAGGCUCAACCUUGGGCUUGCAGUGGGUACGGGCAGACUAGAGUGCGGUAGGGGUGACUGGAAUUCCUGGUGUAGCGGUGGAAUGCGCAGAUAUCAGGAGGAACAGCCGAUGGCGAAGGCAGGUCACUGGGCCGCAACUGACGCUGAGGAGCGAAAGCAUGGGGAGCGAACAGG
rnacentral:rRNA from 1 species